rnacentral:lncRNA from 1 species
AAUUUUUAACUUUUGAAUUUUUUGGUUAGGUCACAUUGUUUAUUUACAAUUUUCUUGUAUUCUUGGUUGCAUAACUAGAUAUUGCUAAACAAGAAUCUACAGGUCGAGCAAGUCUCGUAAAUUUCACGAUUGCGAGCCACGCUUCACGCAACCGUGUUUGCGUACUUGUGUUUCGAGUUGCGUGGUCGUGCGGAGUUAUAUUUACCAAAUUUAAAUGUAAUCGUUUCUACUGAUAAUAAUAUACUAUUCUCAAUAUGGCUACUGGGUGUAAAAGAUAAAUCUUAUUCUAUCUGUUCUUCAUGAGUUUUAGAUAAUUUUAGUUGUAUUUCUUUGUAAUUUUGUGUUGUACAAAGAUUAAUUUAACAUUUUCUCUGGAAGUAUUAAUUUAGAAAGAUAAUAUGCUUCAUUGGUGUUGUGUUUUGAAGUGUGAAAUGCAAAGUAAUUGUGAAGUCAAGAUAAAGUUCACUUUUAAACUGAACUAAAUAAGGUAUCUGAGAGACAACAAUGGUUAAAUGCAAUACAAUGUACAGGUUUUACUAGCGAAAUGAAAAUUUUCCUGUCCUGUCUGCUGUAAUCAUUUUAUAUCUGGAAAAUAGGAAAACCAGCCGACUUAAUCGAUAAUAACAAUCUCCAGAUUGGGUUCCUUCAAUAAAUAUGGGCUAUAAACACAAUGAAAUAAGUUCCCCAAAAUCUAAAAUGGAGUGGUAUCAAAGGAGAAUUAAAGGAAAUAAUAUUCAUAUUGAAAUUAUUUAUAAGGCACUGGACUGUCUUAAAUUCUACAAUAAUACUAGAAUCAGCUGAGAGAAGUGGUCUACAAAAAACCAGGAAGGAAACGGAAUAUGUGGCUACGAAAGGCAAAAGAAAGGUUUACAAAGCAAAUGUGACACAUUUUUUUAAAAUAUUUAGGAAUAUCAGUAAAUUGCAUUAAAAAAUGUAUGAAAAGAUUUUGUUCAAUAAAAAUGUUUAUAUUUA